rnacentral:tRNA from 1 species
GAGGGUAUAGCUCAGGGAUUGAGCACACACUUAGUAUGCAUGAGGUCCUGGGUUCAAUCUCCAGUACCUCCA